GGCGUGGUGGCCAAGUGGUAAGUCGUUGGUCUCAGAAACAAAGAUCAUGGGUUCAAUUCCCAUCCAUGCCU